GCAUAUCAAUAAGCGGAGGAAAAGAAACUAACAAGGAUUCCCCUAGUAACUGCGAGUGAAGCGGGAAAAGCUCAAAUUUAAAAUCUGGCGGCUUUGGUCGUCCGAAUUGUAUUCUAGAGAAGCGUUUUCCGCGUUGGACCGUGUACAAGUCUCUUGGAACAGAGCGUCAUAGAGGGUGAGAAUCCCGUCUUUGACACGGACUACCAGUGCUUUGUGAUGCGCUCUCAAAGAGUCGAGUUGUUUGGGAAUGCAGCUCAAAAUGGGUGGUAAAUUCCAUCUAAAGCUAAAUAUUGGCGAGAGACCGAUAGCGAACAAGUACCGUGAGGGAAAGAUGAAAAGCACUUUGGAAAGAGAGUUAAACAGUACGUGAAAUUGCUGAAAGGGAAACGCUUGAAGUCAGUCGCGUUGGUUAGAACUCAACCAGGCUUGCUUGGUGCAUUUUCUUNUCAACGGGCCAGCAUCAGUUUUGACUGUAGGAAAAAGAUCAGAGAAAUGUGGCACCUUCGGGUGUGUUAUAGUCUUUGGUUGCAUACUAUGGUUGGGACUGAGGAUCUCAGCACGCAUCUGUUGUGCUUAGGAUGCUGGCGUAAUGGCUUUAAACGACCCGUCUUGAAACACGGACCAAGGAGUCUAACAAACCUGCGAGUGUUUGGGUGGUAAACCCGAGCGCGUAAUGAAAGUGAAAGUUGGGAUCUCUGUCGUGGAGAGCACCGACGCCCGGACCAGACCUUCUGUGACGGAUCUGCGGUAGAGCAUGUUUGUUGGGACCCGAAAGAUGGUGAACUAUGCCUGAAUAGGGUGAAGCCAGAGGAAACUCUGGUGGAGGCUCGUAGCGAUUCUGACGUGCAAAUCGAUCGUCAAAUUUGGGUAUAGGGGCGAAAGACUAAUCGAACCAUCUAGUAGCU
rnacentral:rRNA from 2 species